UAUAAACAAGUUGCGAUCCUAUACAUACUUAAUAGGAGUGAUCCCCACUGAAUGCAUGUACAGAAUUCCUCCAUAAGGCUUUUUUUAAAAAAAGUUCAUUGAUGCACACGGCGCUACAUGCAAAUGUUGCUAUUCCACCACCAACACUCUCACACGCACUCACAUCACGAAAAGCAAAGGAUGAUUUGAGGAGCGAUUAGCUGCUCCCAGCGCAACACAAGGUCCCUUGUGAGAGUCAAAGAUUAUUACCGGCUGAAUACUCUGCUGAGCUAAAGAAGCUUUGAAUUGUUUUCUUUAGAAAGCAGCCAUGCAUUCUUAAGAUACAACUCUGGAUCUGGCUUGCUGCUCUAGCUAUACAGAUUCUUGCAGCAGUCAGAGGGCUUGUUAAUAGUUCUCCGUCAGCCUCUGAUGCUGAGAAUUUCAGGUAAAAUAAAACACUGUUUUAAGCUCUAA